rnacentral:rRNA from 1 species
CAAUAGCGUAUAUUAAAGUUGUUGCGGUUAAAAAGCUCGUAGUUGGAUUUCUGCUUUGGACGGUGGGUCCGCCCUCCGGGCGUGCAUCUUUUCGACCAAGGCAUCCUUCAGCAGCCUGUGCUGCACUUCAUUGUGUGGCGCAGGUGGCUGGACCUUUACUUUGAGGAAAUUAGAGUGUUCAAAGCAGGCUUUCGCUUGAAUACAUUAGCAUGGAAUAAUAAGAUAGGACUUUGGUGCUAUUUUGUUGGUUGAGCCUAAAGUAAUGAUUAAUAGGGAUAGUUGGGGGCACCUGUAUUGCGUUGUCAGAGGUGAAAUUCUUGGAUUUACGCAAGACAAACAGCUGCGAAAGCGUCUGCCAAGGAUGUUUUCAUUAA